rnacentral:tRNA from 1 species
AUCUUCGUGGUGUAGUGGCAAGCACGCUGGGCGCGUAUUCCAGAGGUCCGUGGUUCGAGUCCCGGCGAAGGCG